rnacentral:rRNA from 1 species
AUCCUGAGUAGGGGGGAGCUGGUGAAACUCCCUUUGAAUCAGCCGGCACCAUCCGGUAAGGCUAAAUACUAACAAGAGACCGAUAGUGAACGAGUACUGUGAAGGAAAGGUGAAAAGUACCCCGAAUAGGGGGGUGAAAAGACCCUGAAACCAUACACUUACAAGCGGUCGGAGCAGCGUGAUGCUGUGACGGCGUGCCUUUUGCAUAAUGACCCUACGAGUUACUCUUCCUGGCAAGAUUAAGGAUUGCAGAUCUGGAGUCGGAGCGAAAGCGAGUCUGAAAAGGGCGUUUAGUCAGGGGGAGUAGACGCGAAACCUUGUGAUCUACCCAUGGCCAGGUUGAAGGUGUGGUAACACACACUGGAGGACCGAACGAGUUUACGUUGAAAAGUAUUUCGAUGAGCUGUGGGUAGGGGUGAAAGGCUAAUCAAACUGGGAAAUAGCUCGUACUCCCCGAAAUGUUUUUAGGAACAGCGUCGUGGUUGAGUUUCAUGCAGGUAAAGCUACCAAUAGGACUAGGGGGAGUCAAAUCCUACCAAAUCCUGAUGAACUCUGAAUGGCAUGAAAUAUACACGGCAGUGAGGGCCGGGGUGCUAAGGUCACGGUCCGAGAGGGAAAGAACCCAGACCAACAGUUAAGGUCCCAAAAUCUAUACUAAGUUGAACAAAGGAGGUCUGAUUGCAGAGACAGCCAGGAUGUUAGCUUGGAAGCAGCUAUUCAUUUAAAGAGUGCGUAACAGCUCACUGGUCGAGCGAGGCGGGCAUCGAUAAUAAACGGGCAUCAAGUAUAGUACCGAAGCUUUGGAUUAUGUAG